rnacentral:rRNA from 1 species
UAUAGAGCUUAAAUAUUCAACUGGACAAGUGCACUAAGUAAUGUCUUAACUAGCUAUAUAUUUUUGUUGGGGCGACAAAGAGAUAAAAAUAACACUCUUUUUUAAAAAAAUAUUUAUAAAUAAAAUAACGAUCCUUAAAUUAAGAUAAAAGACUAAGUUACCUUA